UAGGGAAUCUUCCGCAAUGGACGCAAGUCUGACGGAGCAACGCCGCGUGAGUGAAGAAGGAUUUCGGUUCGUAAAACUCUGUUGUUAGAGAAGAACAGCGCAUAGAGUAACUGUUAUGCGUGUGACGGUAUCUAACCAGAAAGCCACGGCUAACUACGUGCCAGCAGCCGCGGUAAUACGUAGGUGGCAAGCGUUGUCCGGAUUUAUUGGGCGUAAAGCGAGCGCAGGCGGUCAAUUAAGUCUGAUGUGAAAGCCCCCGGCUCAACCGGGUAGGGUCAUUGGAAACUGGUUGACUUGAGUGCAGAAGAGGAGAGUGGAAUUCCAUGUGUAGCGGUGAAAUGCGUAGAUAUAUGGAGGAACACCAGUGGCGAAGGCGACUCUCUGGUCUGUAACUGACGCUGAGGCUCGAAAGCGUGGGUAGCAAACAGG
rnacentral:rRNA from 1 species